CACCCGGCUCACUAAUAAUGAUUUCUGGUUCUAGUUCCAGUAUCCUGAUGUGAUUUGGACUCUCUUAUCCUGAGACACCGUGGGCUGAUCCUGAUCCAUAGCUGUUGCCAGAGUUCCUGCAUCCCUGGGCUUGCCUCAGUACCAUCUGGCCUCCUGAUCUCAGUGACACGACAAAACACUUUGAUCAUAAGCGCCGAUGCCAACCCCUGGGGGGGCUCCUCGCUCUGCUGGAACCAGACGGAAAACAUCUCUAGAAGAUGACAAACCCCAGAGUAAACGGACUCCCACCCCUCAGUGAUGAUUGGUGCAGAAAGGUUCCAGCAGUGUGAUUGACAGCUGUAGCAAUUGCAACUCACCUACCUGGCCUGCCAAUUAUUUCUAAGAACACUCGUCGUUCUUCUAAGGACUCCUAAAACUGUACCGUUCUGUCAUUUUUAAAAAAAAAAAUAUACCGUUUAUGGGCUGGCAUUCAAGUAAAUGCUGGCUGCUGUUCAGGCAGAGACAAUGCAGUACUUUGAUUUAGGCACAGACAAGCUGGAUGUGGUUUUCAGGAAUGAAAGCUCCUCAAGUUGAUUUUCUUUUAUUUUGGAUUCUAUUUCAU